GGACGGCGGGACGGGGAAGUAUGAUGGUGAGAAGCUAGACUGGUGGUGGCUGGUGGCUUGUGGCACGGAUUCACCACGCUGGGCACAGAUGGACGUUUGGUAGACAAGGCUCUGUGGACUUGGGGAACCAGUGGACUCUAAUUCUUAAGAGGAGGCUUAGCGGAGCGGCGGACAGCGGGCAAGGCAAGGCAGGGCAGCUACAACUUUAAGACUGGUUUCAACACACACGCACACACUUUCUCGCAGGUAGACAAAAGCAUCUCAUUUGCGUUCCGAAGCUUCAACAACGUGCAUUCAACCCUACGGCACAAGCUUCGACACUGCUUCAGACGUCACCAAACCCACCGUCCACUUCACUUCCACCACACUACCGCCGCGUUCCACCAGUCGCCAUCCAACUCCAGGUAUAGGUGGACAGCCGCGUACCUUCAUCAUAGUGUUGCUGGUACGAGAAUGCGUUCGUCAGUAAUUCUUCACCUUACAGUUGUCCUGGGCAGCCAACAACUGACUAUGCAGUUUGGUGUGAAGAAGACCAUUAUUCUGCUCCUACAUAAGAGGCUAAGAUGUUGGAGAGUAACCUGCAUGUUACAAGAGAUGCUCCAAAGGGAUUGUGCAAGGAGACUAAAAGACUUCACUAA